UACGUAGGGGGCGAGCGUUGUCCGGAUUUAUUGGGCGUAAAGAGCUCGUAGGCGGUUCGAUAAGUCGGAUGUGAAAUCUCCACGCUCAACGUGGAGGGGCCAUUCGAUACUGUCGUGACUCGAGUCCGGUAGGGGAGUGUGGAAUUCCCGGUGUAGCGGUGAAAUGCGCAGAGAUCGGGAGGAACACCCGUAGCGAAGGCGGCACUCUGGGCCGGUACUGGACGCUGAGGAGCGAAAGCGUGGGGAGCAAACAGGGAUUAAGAU
rnacentral:rRNA from 1 species